UACGUAGGGCGCAAGCGUUAUCCGGAAUUAUUGGGCGUAAAGAGCUCGUAGGCGGUUUGUCGCGUCUGCCGUGAAAGUCCGGGGCUCAACUCCGGAUCUGCGGUGGGUACGGGCAGACUAGAGUGAUGUAGGGGAGGCUGGAAUUCCUGGUGUAGCGGUGAAAUGCGCAGAUAUCAGGAGGAACACCGAUGGCGAAGGCAGGUCUCUGGGCCGGUACUGACGCUGAGGAGCGAAAGCGUGGGGAGCAAACAGG
rnacentral:rRNA from 1 species